rnacentral:rRNA from 1 species
GGGGAAUAUUGCACAAUGGGCGCAAGCCUGAUGCAGCGACGCCGCGUGAGGGAUGACGGCCUUCGGGUUGUAAACCUCUUUCAGCAGGGACGAAGCGAAAGUGACGGUACCUGCAGAAGAAGCACCGGCUGACUACGUGCCAGCAGCCGCGGUAAUACGUAGGGUGCGAGCAUUGUCCGGAUUCAUUGGGCGUAAAGAGCUCGUAGGCGGCCUGCCACGUCGGAUGUGAAAACUCGGGGCUUAACCCCGAGCCUGCAUUCGAUACGGGCAGGCUAGAGUGUUGCAGGGGAGACUGGAACUCCUGGUGUAGCGGUGAAAUGCGCAGAUAUCAGGAAGAACACCGGUGGCGAAGGCGGAUCUCUGGGCAACUACUGACGCUGAGGAGCGAAAGCGUGGGGAGCAAACA